GUUUGAUCAUGGCUCAGGACGAACGCUGGCGGCGUGCCUAAUACAUGCAAGUCGAGCGGACCAAAGGGAGCUUGCUCCUGGAGGUUAGCGGCGAACGGGUGAGUAACACGUGGGCAACCUGCCUGUAAGACUGGGAUAACAUCGAGAAAUCGGUGCUAAUACCGGAUAAUAAAAAGAACUGCAUGGUUCUUUUUUGAAAGAUGGUUUCGGCUAUCACUUACAGAUGGGCCCGCGGCGCAUUAGCUAGUUGGUGAGGUAACGGCUCACCAAGGCGACGAUGCGUAGCCGACCUGAGAGGGUGAUCGGCCACACUGGGACUGAGACACGGCCCAGACUCCUACGGGAGGCAGCAGUAGGGAAUCUUCCGCAAUGGACGAAAGUCUGACGGAGCAACGCCGCGUGAGUGAUGAAGGUUUUCGGAUCGUAAAACUCUGUUGUUAGGGAAGAACAAGUGCCGUUCGAAAGGGCGGCACCUUGACGGUACCUAACGAGAAAGCCACGGCUAACUACGUG
rnacentral:rRNA from 1 species